UCCCCUCUCAGCUGCACUAAUCUAAUGUGAGAAGGGGGGGGGGGGGGCUGUUAACUCAAAGAUGGACGGCUGAGGUGACUCUGCUUAGGUAACCUUUAGAGAGGAGGAAACUGGGUCCAAACCAGUGACAUGAAUGGAGGGAUAUUGGAUAUUGGAGGGAUACAACAACCCUGUGCACUCAAAAAGGCUCCCACUGCAGACCUCACUGUAAUGGAUUACCUAUUCUUUUUUCUUUUGGGUUGUGUUUUACCGAGAUACAUGAACCAGUGCCAUGAACGCACUUAAAUCUGAGCCACCUAACAGUUUGCGACAAAACAACCAAGCAAUCAUCAAAAUCACACAGCAAACUCUUUCAAAAUAAAUCAGUGUCUUUUAAAACCAAAAUUCAACAAAAGAAAAGUCCAAAUAAUAUUCAUCAACAUAAGGAGUCAGGGGCUCAUCAACAACCACCAAAAAAUUAAGGUUGUUCAGUUCCGUUUCUUAAAUUUGCCUCAGAGUGAAACCUCUUCCCAAACAAAACAAUAUUGGAUCUUUGGUCACGUUUCAGUUCAGUUCAGUUCUUUUCAGCCACGUGUGACUCAUCUUCUCAGAUAAAUCCUUAGAAGAUCUCUGGCAACGUUUGUUUGUUAAUUCACUACAUUUCUAACCGAGUGAAUCCUCUCCCAUCAGAUUAAAAGUGGAUCUUUGACAAAAAAAAGUAAAAAAUCUCCGACGUUGUCUGAGUUAUCAGCGGUACCGGGGCAGGUAGUUUCUCCGAUCCUGCCGGAUGUAAGAGCCCGGGUUGUUUGGAGGCUGGAAGGAAGCGCGGGAAGUAUUUACUGACCGCAGACUGUACACGGAGCCGGAGAUAGACACUAGCUACAACCACAACCGACACGCUGCAACACAGGCCCGGCCUCUCCUCCAGCGGUGUGGAGAAUAUGAUCUAUAUGCCGAGGCAUCUCUGUAGCACCACAAUGCUUCAUUUAUGGUCUGUUGUGACACAUUUCACCUUUAUCAAAUAAAGAUUGCAGCUCUUGCGAUUUGGAUAUUG